GAGCUUGCUCCGGUGGAUUAGUGGCGAACGGGUGAGUAACACGUGAGCAAUCUGCCCUUGACUCUGGGAUAACUGCGGGAAACUGUAGCUAAUACCGGAUACGACACCUUGGGGCAUCCCAGGGUGUGGAAAGAAUUUCGGUCAAGGAUGAGCUCGCGGCCUAUCAGCUAGUUGGUGAGGUAAUGGCUCACCAAGGCGACGACGGGUAGCCGGCCUGAGAGGGUGACCGGCCACACUGGAACUGAGACACGGUCCAGACUCCUACGGGAGGCAGCAGUGGGGAAUAUUGCACAAUGGACGAAAGUCUGAUGCAGCAACGCCGCGUGAGGGAUGAAGGCCUUCGGGUUGUAAACCUCUUUUAGCAGGGAAGAAGCGAAAGUGACGGUACCUGCAGAAAAAGCACCGGCUAACUACGUGCCAGCAGCCGCGGUAAUACGUAGGGUGCAAGCGUUGUCCGGAAUUAUUGGGCGUAAAGAGCUCGUAGGCGGUUUGUCGCGUCUGCUGUGAAAAUCCAAGGCUCAACCUUGGACCUGCAGUGGGUACGGGCAAGCUAGAGUGCGGUAGGGGAGAUGGGAAUUCCUGGUGUAGCGGUGGAAUGCGCAGAUAUCAGGAGGAACACCAAUGGCGAAGGCACAUCUCUGGGCCGUAACUGACGCUGAGGAGCGAAAGCGUGGGGAGCGAACAGGAUUAGAUACCCUGG
rnacentral:rRNA from 1 species